GCAAGCGAAUUAAGGGUGUAUGGGGGAUGCCUAGGCUCUUGAAGGCGAUGAAGGACGUGUUAAGCUGCGAUAAGCUACGGGGAGAUGCACAAAAUUGUUAAUCCGUAGAUUUCCGAAUGGGGCAACCCGGUGGUUUGAAGAACCAUCACCACGUAAGUGGAGCAAACCCGGAGAACUGAAACAUCUAAGUACCCGGAGGAAGAGAAAACAAAAGUGAUUCCGUAAGUAGUGGCGAGCGAACGCGGAAUAGCCCAAACCACAAUUGUUACGGCAAUAGUGGGGUUGUAGGACAUUCUAUUAGAAUAGCGACGAAUUUGAAUGAGUUGGGAAACUCAGCCGCAGAAGGUGAUAGCCCUGUAAUAGUAAAGAAGCUAGACGUGAAUGUAUCCUGAGUAGGGGGGGACAGGAGAAAUCCCCUUUGAAACUGCCGGCACCAUCCGGUAAGGCUAAAUACUAACAAGAGACCGAUAGUGAACGAGUACUGUGAAGGAAAGGUGAAAAGUACCCCGAGCAGGGGGGUGAAAAGACCCUGAAACCAUACACUUACAAGCGGUCGGAGCAACGUUAUGUUGUGACGGCGUGCCUUUUGCAUAAUGACCCUACGAGUUACUCUUCCUGGCAAGAUUAAGAGCUUAAGGCUUGGAGUCGGAGCGAAAGCGAGUCUGAAAAGGGCGUUUAGUCAGGGGGAGUAGACGCGAAACCUUGUGAUCUACCCAUGGCCAGGUUGAAGGUUUGGUAACACACACUGGAGGACCGAACGAGUUUACGUUGAAAAGUAUUUCGAUGAGCUGUGGGUAGGGGUGAAAGGCUAAUCAAACUGGGAAAUAGCUCGUACUCCCCGAAAUGUUUUUAGGAACAGCGUCGUGGUUGAGUUUCAUGCAGGUAAAGCUACCGAUAGGACUAGGGGGAGUCAAAUCCUACCAAAUCCUGACGAACUCUGAAUGGCAUGAAAUAUACACGGCAGUGAGGGCCGGGGUGCUAAGGUCACGGUCCGAGAGGGAAAGAACCCAGACCAACAGUUAAGGUCCCCAAAUCUAUACUAAGUUGAACAAAGGAGGUCUGAUUGCAGAGACAGCCAGGAUGUUAGCUUGGAAGCAGCUAUUCAUUUAAAGAGUGCGUAACAGCUCACUGGUCGAGCGAGGCGGGCAUCGAUAAUAAACGGGCAUCAAGUAUAGUACCGAAGCUUUGGAUUAUGUAUUUAUACAUACUGGUAGGGGAGCAUUCUCAUUGCGGUGAAUGUUAAUCGACAAGGUUAACUGGAGCGAUGAGAAAAGCAAAUGUAGGGAUAAGUAACGAUAAUGGGGGCGAGAAACCCCCACGCCGAAAAGUCAAGGAUUCCUCAGCUAUGCUAAUCAACUGAGGGUUAGUCGGGGGCUAAGGGCUUAGCGAGAGCGACAGUCUAAUGCACAUCAGGUUAAUAUUCCUGAACUUACUAUUAGGGAAACACGAUGACGGAGAUUCGUGGUUGGCAGGUACUGACGGAAUAGUGCCUUUGAGAUGAAGCCGCAAGGCGGAAUCGAGUCAGCGAAGAGACUUCCAAGAAAAGUUGUGAAUCAAUACUUACUAGUAACCCGUACCGUAAACCGACACAGGUGACUGGGAAGAAUAUUCUAAGGCGCUCGAGUGAAUCACGGCUAAGGAACUCGGCAAAUUAACCCUGUAACUUCGGGAUAAAGGGAGCCUCCUGGCAACAGAGGCCGCAGAGAAUUGGUCCAGGCGACUGUUUAACAAAAACACAUGGCUUUGCAAAAACGAAAGUUGACGUAUAAGGCCUGACACCUGCCCGGUGCUGGAAGGUUAAGAGGGGAUGUCAUCGCAAGAGAAGCAUUGAAUCGAAGCCCCAGUAAACGGCGGCCGUAACUAUAACGGUCCUAAGGUAGCGAAAUUCCUUGUCGGGUAAGUUCCGACCUGCACGAAUGGUGUAACGAUCUGGACACUGUCUCAGCCGUGAGCUCGGUGAAAUUGUAGUAACGGUGAAGAUGCCGUUUACCCGCAACGGGACGGAAAGACCCCAUGAACCUUUACUAUAGCUUAGCAUUGAGUUCUGGUACUGGAUGUGUAGGAUAGGUGGGAGACUGAGAUAUUGUGUCGCUAGGCAUGAUGGAGUCAACGUUGAAAUACCACCCUUCUUGUACUGGAAUUCUAACCUAAAAAGGGACAUUGCUUGGUGGGUAGUUUGACUGGGGUGGUCGCCUCCAAAAGAGUAACGGAGGCUUUCAAAGGUACCCUCAGCACGCUUGGUAACCGUGCGUAGAGUGCAAUAGCAAAAGGGUGCUUGACUGUGAGACAAACAAGUCGAUCAGGUACGAAAGUAGGAUAUAGUGAUCCGGUGGUUUAGUAUGGAACAGCCAUCGCUCAAAGGAUAAAAGGUACUCUGGGGAUAACAGGCUGAUCUCCCCCAAGAGCUCACAUCGACGGGGAGGUUUGGCACCUCGAUGUCGGCUCGUCACAUCCUGGGGCUGGAGAAGGUCCCAAGGGUUCGGCUGUUCGCCGAUUAAAGUGGCACGCGAGCUGGGUUCAGAACGUCGUGAGACAGUUCGGUCCCUAUCUGUUGUGGGCGUAGGAAUAUUGACAGGUUCUGACUUUAGUACGAGAGGACCGAGUUGGACUGACCGCUGGUGUAUCAGUUGUUCUGCCAAGGGCAUUGCUGAGUAGCUACGUCGGGACCAGAUAAGCGCUGAAAGCAUCUAAGUGCGAAACUGACCUGAAGAUGAGUAUUCCAAAUAAGGGCCGUUGUAGAUGACAACGUUGAUAGGUUGUAGAUGUAAAGGUAGAGAUACCAAAGUCAAGCAAUACUAAUUACCCAAAAGCUUGUAUCA
rnacentral:rRNA from 1 species